UACGUAGGGGCCUAGCGUUGUCCGGAUUUAUUGGGCGUAAAGAGCUCGUAGGCGGUUCGGUAAGUCAGGUGUGAAAUCUCCACGCUCAACGUGGAGGGGCCACCUGAUACUGCCGUGACUCGAGUCCGGUAGGGGAGUGUGGAAUUCCCGGUGUAGCGGUGAAAUGCGCAGAUAUCGGGAGGAACACCAGUAGCGAAGGCGGCACUCUGGGCCGGAACUGACGCUGAGACGCGAAAGCGUGGGGAGCGAACAGG
rnacentral:rRNA from 1 species